UAGCCUUCUCAGCCCCCCCCCCCCAAAGACUGUGCCCACAAACAAGCAGGAAGAAGUCUUGAGAAUCCGCCGCCCUAAUUCCUUCAACCUGUGCUGCUAAUCUCCCGCUUUUUAUUAUAAAAAAAGAGCUGGGAAUGUAAUGUUCUGUCUCUUUAAGAGACAAGCCAUAUCUACUCCCUUCCUGCUUGCAGUCUCAGCCCCACUCUCUCUCUCUUCCUGCCCCCUCUCUCGGAGAGGCAGUCUUUCUCCCCCCUCCCCUCCCCCUUUCUCCCCUUUUCCUUCCCCUCCAUAACACCAAAUAAAUGUCCAAUUCCAUUCUUUAUGGUGUGCCUAUCUCUGUGUCUUCCACCCACCGCCUGUCUGUUUGUCACCACCAGGGACCAGCCACCUUCCCCGCCGCAUGGUCUCUGGGACUGGCUGCUUUUGGGUCCCCAGCAGUCCUGGAGACUCAGCAUCUGUGCCUCCCACCCACCGCCUGCCCACACUGCUCGCCCUGGACCAGCCAGCCGCCACAUGGCUGGGGACCAGCCACCUUCGCUUGGGGACCUGCUAUGUGGUUUCAACCCCGCAGCAAGCAAGCUGCCAGGGACCCGCAGCAAAUCCAGAUACUAGGGGGCUCUGGACCACUACCUUGUUGUAGCUGCUUGUUUGUUUCCUGGCCGCCCGGACUCCAAAAUAAUCACACAGAAACCAUAUCACUGCUUGACCAAUCAUGUAGUCAAGUGGACUGAAUUCAGCAUCCUCAGCCUCUGUGAAGAACAAGUGGACUUGAGUUUGUUCAGCCUUAUCUGGGCUGUUUAGAGAUGGUGCUACAUCUGUAUAAUUCAAAGUUCUGCAACCAGAACAGCUUCAGAGCUGCUGACUGAGAUGGCCCAGCCUCACAGACUACUCCAGCCAGGACUUCAAGUGAUUGGGAAAUGAACAAACAGUCUCUACUGACAGAAGAAACUCUCUGGUUACCUUUUACCUAUAGUAAGUCAUAAAACUCUCCUCAUUCCAGAGGGAUCCAUGCUGCUCAGAGAAGCUGAGAGGAAUCUGAACAGGACAGGCAUUGCUGGAUUUUCUCAACAGGGUAGGCUUUCUAUCUCUAAAAUACUAAUUAGGCAUGUAAUAGUAAAAUGUAGAGAGAGAUUUAUUCAAUGUGACCAUAUUGGGAAGAGGAGUAGAUGUCCCCAAGUCUAUCUCUUUGGCACUCACAUGAGUUUUAGGUUUAAAUAGAGGAGGAAUGGGGUAAGGGGCAGGAGGUGUACAUAAUUAAGCAGGUCUCCUCUAAAUGUGGCCUAGUUUACCAUAUUGCCUCAAUUCUGGUUCUGCAGGGUGGUCUGCAGAAGUCCUUAUUGCUGUAACUGCUUGAGAAAUUCAAUCUGGUUUACUGGAGUUGGUUAUUUCUGUACUAGCAUACAUCUUUGGUAGCAUGGAAAAUUCCCUCAUCUGAGGAAUUGUCUUUCCUGUGAAGUUCUGCUGUUCCUAGAACCCAUGGUGACUUUAUGUUUAGGACACUGACUUGUCUCUGUGCAUUUAGCCUUGAAGAGGGGUGAGUGCAUGGAGGCACUCCUUGAGUGAUUAACAUGCCUAUGUGAAGAGGUUAACAGGUAACCCAAAGGAAAAGGGGACAUGCAUAAAAUGAAGGCAGAAAUUCCAGGUUUUCUCCUCUUGGUAUCUUCCUGUUAAAGAAGGUACAUAUUUUUUCUUUUAAUUAUUUUGAGAUUAUGUAGCCCAUGUAGCUAUGUAGCCCUAUGUAGCUGUCCUGGAAUUCCCUAUAUAGACCAGGCUGGCCUUGAACUUGCCUGUCUCUGCCUCCAGAGUGCUGGGAUAAAAGCACAUCCCACUACACUCAGUUAGUACCCAUUUCUUAAAUAAAGGAUAAUUCAGUGUCCCACAAAUGAUCAGCUUUGCAUCAUAUUUGCCAAAAUGAAAAUUCACACACUUUCAGAUUUGUAUAGUUAAAAGGAUGGGGAAGUAAGACAAGAUGAGUUACAGAGUUGAUUUUCAAAUCAGUGAUCUACACUGAAUCUUCCAGGGAACUUCAAAAAUUAUGGCAAUAGUGAAAUAUGAAAAAAGAAUGACAAUAAUGGCAAUAGAAAAACAGCAUGCAUUUCUUUCUAAAAUUAUCUACUUUCUGAGUGAAAUUAUGUCUGGAUAUAGUGUAAACCUGAGAAACUCACCCAAAAACAUAGAAUAAGACUGAGAAAAAGGUGAGCAGCUGGUAUGGUAAGUCCUUCUGUCUAUGUGUUGCUUUUGUUAGUUAAUGGAUAAAUCUGUUUUAGCCAGUGGCUUAAUAAAAUAGAGCAAGGCAGGAAUUCCAAGCAGAUAGAGGAGGAAAGAAGGUGGAGUCAAGGAGAAGACAUAUAGCUGCCACAGGAGACAGACACCUCUGCCGGAGCCUGCUGAAACUUUGCCAGUAGGCCACAACCUUGUGGUAAUGCGCAGAUUAACGGAGAUGGAUUAUUUUAGAAUAUAAGAACUAGCUAGAAAAUAUGCUUAAGCUAUAGGCCAUACAGUAUUGCAAAUAAUAUAGUUUCUGUGUGAUUAUUUCGGGUCUGAGUGGCAACAGAUUGGCACCCAAUGUGGCCAACUAAAUCCACUUAAAACCUGAGACAGCUUGGGAAGGAAUUCUAGACACACACACAAAAACAAAGUUUAAGGUAGCUUCUUGCUUUGUUUGCUGACCGUAAGCUGAGAUACUGCUCCUUUAAGAGGUUUCCUGACUCAGCUUUAGUGUCAAGCUGUUUCUUUAAGGGAAGGCCUUCCGAUUCAUGCUAGUUACAGGAACAGCUCUGGCUCUCUUGGGGGGAAUGAUGCCCACCACCCACUUCGAGUCCAGAUGCUUAUGUGCCUACUUGGGGUUGGGAGGAAAGGCUCAGCACUCCCUGCCUGGGUAUGUGGCAGGAUUGAGUCUGUUAGGUGUGCACAGGCAGUAGAGCGUGGUAGAUUCCCACUGCCAUACACAGGAGUAUUUCUAGGUCAUGCAGUGCACUGCAUGGCAGAUUUAGCUUUUACUCAGAUAAAAAGGGUUUAUAUGCCGCAUGGUGCUUUCCAGAGUUGAGGUGGUGAGGAUGGCUCCCACUCAGCAGUCUCAGAGACAGUGAACAUGCCUCUGCCAUGUUGGACUGGGAGGAGCCAACAGGCAGGCCCAAGUUGAUCCUAGCCAUGCCCACUUAGCACUAAAAAGGAGGGGGCUUUUGAUCAAAAAAUAAUUACAGAUAUGCAAUAAAGACAGAUUCGGAUAAAAAACACCUCUAAAUGGGUCACAGGGGUUGAUUACUAUAUGUAGGCUUGGGGGAGAGAAG